AUCAGAACCGGUCUGCUGCCUGGUUCUGAUCUUGGUGAUGUGGACAGAACCUCCAGAACCAGUGACAUCACUGCUCAGAGCAGACAGGGGGCGGGGCUUGGCGUGCUCUCUGCUGAUUGGCUGGAGGUGACCUCAUUGUUGCUGGUCCUCACUCAACUCCAUUACAUCAUGGCCGGCUGCUGCAGUGCAUCAUGGGAGCUGCAGUAUAUCAGGAUUGAUCAGCAGCUCUUCAACCCAGCAGGACUCUGUUAGGGGGUUAGAGGUCAAAGGUCAUGACAAAGCCACCUUUACUGAAUGCUGAUUAUUAUAUAAAUGGAAGUGACACGGCAACAGAAUAACCACAGAAAGUGAAAUAAACAUAAAUAUGAGGAAUAUGUGAAUAUGUUUUAUCCGUCCAUAUUUUCUCUAAUGUGUCCAUUUCUGUUGAGACCAUAAAAAUUUAUUUUAU